rnacentral:lncRNA from 1 species
GGCAGCGGAGGGACUCGCUGCGCAGCUCUCGGCGUGGUACCGCUCGUACGUCUCCGAGAAGUCCCGCUGCAGAAACUCGCUGCCGUCCCCUCCCAUGCCAUCGCUGCCUCCGUCUUCCUCACCAGCUUCUUCCACAAAAUCCUCAUCGCUGGUGUCGUCGGAUUUGGCGGCUGCCCGCUUGGGGUAAAGGCCGGUUUUGAGAUCAGGCUCCUCCUGAUCGUGGUCAUCCAUGAGGAACUGCGUGGUGUUAUAGGGCGCAACUGGCUGGCCCUUGGCGAACAUCUCGGCUCGAACCCGCGAAGCUCGCAGGCUCUGCUUCUCGUCGAACUUUUUCUUCUCCUCCCAAGUCAGCUUGUAGUAGGGCUUCCAAUGCCGCUUCUUCUUUGAGGGGCGUCUCCGAUGUUUUUUCUUGCCCAGCUGUCUCUGUUGCUGUCCCCAUGGCUCCUCGCCUCCGGCGGCAGGAGCCUCCUGCUUGGUGGCCUCCGAGUCAUGACCUGGCUGCACGAGGGACUCUGACAUCGGCUCUCCCUCCGCCGACGGGGAGGCACCGCCAGUGGAUAAGUCCUCCCCAUUCUGGCCCUUCUCGCCCUUCUCCAGGGAGCUCAAUUCUGGACAGGCAUUCGUCUGCAAUGGGGGCAGCUGGUGCUUCAGGCCCCCUUCUCCCUCCUGCCCUGGACGGCUACCGGACUGCAAGGACGCUCUCGAUUGCCACCUACUGUCCUCCUUGGGCACCCGUUCCUCCGCGCUUGGGGGGCGCUCAGAGGUAUGCUCUUCAUGGACAACAGCAGCACCUGUACAGUUGCUAGUUUGAGGCUGGUGUUGAUGUUCUGUCAAGAGUGGCUCGGCCAUGGCUUAGUAGAGUUCUCUUCUGGAAGUUUGAGAAAUUCUGGCUUAAGGAAAGAGGUUUUUCUUUCUUUUCAAAAUAUGUCCAACAAAGUCCUCUUCGGUCAGUAAUUUCUGCAGUGACGCCUUCCGUCCGUCCUGUCAGCAAACUCCAAUCGCAACUUGGAGUCCAGUCAAUAAAGGGUUAAGCGCACACAAGCGUGGCCAACUAGCAGGUCCGGGGGUUCAGCAGCAGGCACCGUAUGCAAAUAUGCAGAGGGGUGGGCUUCACGCCUCCCCGCCGAGUGCUCCCACAGACGAGGAGUUGGUGCGCAAGGAGAGGAGGUUUAAGUCCAAUGGGUUAAACCCAACCCGAAAGGGUUAAAACUACCCGAUGACGCUGCCUCGGAGGGGCCGAAUCCACAAAGGGUUAAAUCCCCUGCCGCAGAGCCCACAAGGGGUUAAAGUCCCAGAGCCGCCACCUCCCACUUCCACGGGUGUCGCUCCAACCCGAGCUCCCAGUUCCUCAGGCCGGGCCGGAGCCUUAGCCGAGGACAGACAAACUCAUCUCCCCUCUGGCUCGAUGCUCCGCUCAGUUCUCCUCCGCCUCCUCCUCUUUUCCUCCCUCCCUCCCUCCCCCUUCAGACAGCUCUUCUUCCGCCUCCUCCUCCGGCUUCCCCUCCCAACCUGACUUUCCACCUGCCAACUUCCAACUGCUGUCUCCAAGCCCUCGGCGCCUCUUAUAUAUAGAAGCUUGUAAGCCCCGCCCAUGCGCAUGCGUAACGGAGUCCAGGUGUGGGGCAGCCGGGAGUCGUAGUUCCCUUCUUUCGGGCCCGCCGUCCUCGCGCGCCGUGCAACGUAGCCAAUCAUAGAAUGCGUAGGGGGCGUCUCCCAGGCCGCCUUCUUCCAUCGCUUAGCU